UACGGAGGGUGCAAACGUUACUCGGAAUCACUGGGCGUAAAGCGCACGUAGGCGGCCCGUCAAGUCGGAUGUGAAAGCCCCGGGCUCAACCCUGGAAGUGCAUUCGAUACUGGCAGGCUUGAAUAUGGAAGAGGGUCGCGGAAUUCCCGGUGUAGAGGUGAAAUUCGUAGAUAUCGGGAGGAACACCAGUGGCGAAGGCGGCGACCUGGGCCAAUAUUGACGCUGAGGUGCGAAAGCGUGGGGAGCAAACAGG
rnacentral:rRNA from 1 species